ACCUGGGUGGCUCAGUUGGUUAAGCAACUGGCUUUGGCUCAGGUCAUGAUCUCACCAUCAGUGAGUUCGAGCCUCUCCUCAGGCU
rnacentral:tRNA from 1 species